rnacentral:tmRNA from 1 species
GGGGCGACUGGCUUCGACGGGUCUGGUGAAGGUUUCGCAGCGUGUCCAGGAUUCCCGGUGUCCUGGUCAAAUCACUGGGGACUACACAACUGCCAAUACUGACUUGGCUCUGGCUGCGUAAGCUCUGCUUACAGCACCUGCCCGCGAGGUAGCCCGCCCGAGGCGGCACGCGGGUAACGCAAAAUCGGGCUGGCGCGGCGUGGCGCCUUCGCACGCAGCGUAAGAGCUUCUGAGGGCUUGUCCGCCGAUUUGGCCGGCUGGGCGCCAGUCGGUGGAGACCGCAAGCGCAGCCUACACACGUAGACGCGGAUCUGGAUCAAGGCUCGGACCGGGGUUCGAUUCCCCGCGCCUCCAUCA